rnacentral:lncRNA from 1 species
GUUAGGGUCUAUAGGGAGAAUAUAACUAGACCAGAGUUAUAGUUAGGGCCUAUAGGGAAGAUAUAACUAGACCAGGACCAAAGUUAUAGUUAGGGCCUAUAGGGAGGAUAUAACUAGACCAGAGAUAUAGUUAGGGUCUAUAGGGAGAAUAUAACUAGACCAGAGUUAUAGUUAGGGCCUAUAGGGAGGAUAUAACUAGACCAGGACCAGAGUUAUAGUUAGGGCCUAUAGGGAGGAUAUAACUAGACCAGAGUUACAGUUAGGGCCUAUAGGGAGGAUAUAACUAGACCAGGACCAGAGGUAUAGUUAAGGCCUAUAGGGAGGAUAUAACUAGACCAGGACCAGAGUUAUAGUUAGGGCCUAUAGGGAGAAUAUAACUAGACCAGGACCAGAGUUAAAGUUAGGGCCUAUAGGGAGGAUAUAACUAGAACAUGACCAGAGUUAUAGUUAGGGUCUAUAGGGAGAAUAUAACUAGACCAGAGUUAUAGUUAGGGCCUAUAGGGAGGAUAUAACUAGACCAGGACCAAAGUUAUAGUUAGGGCCUAUAGAGAGGAUAUAACUAGACCAGAGAUAUAGUUAGGGCCUAUAUGGAGGAUAUAACUAGACCAGGACCAGAGGUAUAGUUAGGGCCUAUACGGAGAAUAUAACUAGACCAGGACCAGAGUUAUAGUUAGGGCCUAUAAGGAGAAUAUAACUAGACCAGGACCAGAGUUAAAGUUAGGGCCUAUAGGGAGGAUAUAACUAGAACAUGACCAGAGUUAUAGUUAGGGCCUAUAGGGAGAAUAUAACUAGACCAGAGUUAUAGUUAGGGUCUAUAGGGAGAAUAUAACUAGACCAGAGUUAUAGUUAGGGCCUAUAGGGAAGAUAUAACUAGACCAGGACCAAAGUUAUAGUUGGGGCCUAUAGAGAGGAUAUAACUACACCAGAGAUAUAGUUGGGGCCUAUAGGGAGGAUAUAACUAGACCAGGACCAGAGGUAUAGUUGGGGCCUAUACGGAGAAUAUAACUAGA